GCUCUUCCGCCGCGGCGCGCUCCUGAUGAGUGCUGUGUCCAGGAUGACCAUGAAUUCAAGGUUUUUUUUUUUUCCCCAGGAAAAGCCAGUGCAGUUACCUGAUAGUGAGUAAACCUUAUGUUUCUGGUGGUUUCGUCAGAUCUACCAUCACCUGCCAGCCUGACCUGCUUUGAUCCCGCAGACUGUCCCUGUUCCCUUAUGAACAAAAGGACAGGCUAUUGCACAGCAGCCCAUGGUUUGGUACACAGUUGCUGCAGGUACUUAAAAUGGCUGCCUGAACUUAAACUGGGAGGGUAGCCAUUAGGAGAUAGAAACCUACCUCCUAUAUUUCUUAGGAGUCUUGUGACUUAGAAACCCUGUUCUUCAUUCCUCCCUAAAUGGCCAACCACCAUGGGCAAGGGUUCACCUGACACUCAUAAGCCUAGCCUGAGCUGUGCAGUGGUGCUGCAUACCUUUAAUCCUGGCAGAGGCGGGUGCAUUUCUGAAUAUGAAGCCAGCCUGGCCUACAGAGCAAAUUCCAGAACAGCUAAGGCUACACAGAGAAACCAAAACACUCCAGCCUGAUUGUUUCAGGUACAGACCUUUCCUGAAGGUUCAGGCUUGGGCCUACUCAACUCCAUAGGCCCAAAGGCUAAUUCAUGAUAAAGUCAGUUAGGCUUCUGUUUCCUUGCUAGAGAACUGGCCUCUCAGAGUCAAGUAANCUUCCCUCUCCCCUGACUUGAGUUAUAUAAGCCAGUCCUGCUAGUUCAAUAAUUGAGCUGUCCUCCGAAACAGUAUCCUAGUGUAGAAACAUAGUUUUAGUGGUGAAGAUGACCAGACCAAGUCUGCAGCCACCAAAACAAGAUUACUAGUUCUCAGAAAAAGUUUCCUGCCCUUCCCUGUACUGAAUUCCAAAGAAAACCACAAAGUGCCCUGAUCUUGCCACCAAAAUUCCCUGAGAUACUAAUUAGCUGACCAAUGAAUUUAAAAAUAUAUUGCUGCUUUGCUGACCAAUCACAAUAUGACUAUUCAACCCUCCAUAAAAAGAGUAUAAAAAGAGCUGUGCUUUUAGAGCUCGGGGUUGACUCUCCCUGCGAGGCUGAGCAACCCCGAGCGCGCACGCGUGGGAGCAAUAAACACCUUGCCAUUGCAACGA
rnacentral:lncRNA from 1 species